rnacentral:rRNA from 1 species
AUUGAACGCUGGCGGCAUGCCUUACACAUGCAAGUCGAACGGCAGCACGGGAGCAAUCCUGGUGGCGAGUGGCGAACGGGUGAGUAAAGUAUCGGAACGUGCCCAGUCGUGGGGGAUAACGUAGCGAAAGUUACGCUAAUACCGCAUACGAACUAUGGAUGAAAGCGGGGGAUCGCAAGACCUCGCGCGAUUGGAGCGGCCGAUAUCAGAUUAGGUAGUUGGGGGGGUAAAGGCUCACCAAGCCGACGAUCUGUAGCUGGUCUGAGAGGACGGCCGGCCACACUGGGACUGAGACACGGCCCAGACUCCUACGGGAGGCAGCAGUGGGGAAUUUUGGAAAAUUGGCGAAAGCCUGAUCCAGCCAGGCCGCGUGCAGGAUGAAGGCCUUCGGGUUGUAAACUGCUUUUGUACGGAACGAAAAGGUUUGGCCUAAUAAGCUGAGCUCAUGACGGUACCGUAAGAAUAAGCACCGGCUAACUACGUGCCAGCAGCCGCCGUAA